rnacentral:rRNA from 1 species
CUUGACCAAAUUACGUGCCAGCAGUCGCGGCAAUACGCAGAAGACAAGUGUUAUUCAUCUUUAAUAGGUUUAAAGGGUAUCUAGACGGGAAAUCAAACCAUAGUAGGGACUAAUUUUCUAGAGUUUUAUGGGAGAAAGUCGAAUAUCUGGAGUAGAGAUAAAAUAUUGUGAUACCAGAGAGACGGGUAACGGCGUAGGCAACUUUCUAUGUAAAAACUGACGUUGAGGUACGAAGCCCUGGGUAACGAGAAGGAUUAGAUACCCCAGUAGUCCAGGGAGACAAUGAUGAGUGCCAUAGGCUAGAUUAAUUGGUCUAUAAAUGAAAGUGCAAGCAUUCCACCUUAAGACUAAAGCGGCAACGCCCAAAUUGAAAUCAUUAGACCGUUCCUGAAACCAGUAGUGAAGUAUGUUAUUUAAUUCGAUGAUCCGCGAAUAACCUUACCACGUUUUGAAUACUAUUCAAUUAAUACAAGCGCUGCACGGCUGUCUUUAGUUAAUGUCGUGAGACUUUGGUUAACUCCUUUAAUUAACGAAAACCCUUGUUUUAUUU